rnacentral:rRNA from 1 species
UACGGGGGGGGCAAGCGUUGUUCGGAAUUACAGGGCGUAAAGCGCGUGUAGGCAGCUUCGCAAGUCGGGUGUGAAAGCCCUGGGCUCAACCUAGGAAGUGCACUCGAAACUGCGGAGCUUGAGUCUCGGAGAGGGUCGCGGAAUUCUCGGUGUAGAGGUGAAAUUCGUAGAUAUCGAGAGGAACACCGGUGGCGAAGGCGGCGACCUGGACGAUGACUGACGCUGAGACGCGAAAGCGUGGGGAGCAAACAGG